AAAAAAACAUAUAAUAUUGAUGAAUAUGGGGAUCAUUAUUACUUUAUCUAUGAAGGGAGAUGUAGAACUACAAAGAAUGCUCAAUGGAGAUGAGAAACGAUUCUCAAGAACUUUUAUUAAAUUCUUAGUUGUCAAUAAUAACUGUGAUAAUAUCUAAUAAACCACCUAGAUGACGGGAAUUUAUUGUAUAAUAUUAAUCCUACUACUGGGAUUAGGAAUCCCAAAAUAAGA
rnacentral:misc_RNA from 1 species